AGCAGCCGCGGUAAUUCCAGCUCCAAUAGCGUAUAUUAAAGUUGCUGCAGUUAAAAAAGCUCGUAGUUGAAUUUCGGGAUCGAUAUAUCGGUCGUGCCUCGGUACGUACUGGUAUUUUUCGGUUUCUCCCUUCUGACGAACCUUGAUGUCAUUAAUUUGGUGUCUUGGGGAAUCAGGACUGUUACUUUGAAAAAAUUGAGUGUUUAAAGCAGGCUCACGCUUGAAUACAUUAGCAUGGAAUAAUGAAAUAGGACGUUUGAUUCUAUUUUGUUGGUUUCUAGGAUCGACGUAAUGAUUAAUAGGGAUAGUUGGGGGCAUUAGUAUUCAAUUGUCAGAGGUGAAAUUCUUGGAUUUAUUGAAGACUAACUACUGCGAAAGCAUUUGCCAAGGAUGUUUUCAUUAAUCAAGAACGAAAGUUAGGGAUCGAAGACGAUCAGAUACCGUCGUAGUCUUAACCAUAAACUAUGCCGACUAGGGAUCGGAUGAUGUUAAUUUUUUAUGUAACUUCAUUCGGCGCCUU
rnacentral:rRNA from 1 species